rnacentral:rRNA from 1 species
GACGAACGCUGGCGGCGUGCCUAACACAUGCAAGUGGAGCGACGAACCAGGGCUUGCCCUGGAGCAAAGCCGCGAACGGGUGAGUAACACGUGGGUAACCUGCCCCGAUGAUUGGGACAACCCGAGGAAACUCGGGCUAAUACCGAAUGUGCCCUGCCGGCCCAAGCCGGCGUGGGGAAAGGAAGCUUCGGCCUCCGCAUCGGGAGGGGCCCGCGGCCCAUUAGCUAGUUGGUGAGGUAAAGGCUCACCAAGGCAACGAUGGGUAGCUGGUCUGAGAGGACGAUCAGCCACACUGGGACUGAGACACGGCCCAGACUCCUACGGGAGGCAGCAGUGGGGAAUCUUGCGCAAUGCGCGAAAGCGUGACGCAGCAACGCCGCGUGGGGGAAGAAGGCCUUCGGGUUGUAAACCCCUUUCAGGAGGGACGAAGGUGCGGCGGCGAAUAGCCGACCGCACUGACGGUACCUCCAGAAGAAGCCCCGGCUAACUACGUGCCAGCCGCCGCAGUAA